UGGGCAAGAAAAGGACUCACAAAGGGUCA
rnacentral:piRNA from 1 species